GUAUAUGUGGAGCGGUUCCCUCAUCCAGGCCACACUCACAUAUAGACGAGUCUCUUAUGUGUAAUUUAUAUAAGUGCACUGGAGACGAGCAAUGACCAAUUCUCAACCGAGAUAUGGUGGCAGAGAUAUGUUUGCUGAAACGUAAUUUGGAAAACCAAGGCCUAGAAGUUAUGUAAGGUUGAAUUUUGUACAGGUUACCUCCUUUAAGGGUACUAGAGUUCCUCCAACUGGUGUUCCAUGCCAGCUCUAGGUCUUGUUUGGCCAAAGUAGAAAGGUCAAAAGAAUACACUGAGAAGUACUCAUCGUUACCAUGAACAAUAGCAUCUUUGGCUAAUUGAUCUACUGUUUCAUUACCUUUAAUACCUAUAUGGCCUGGAAUCCAAGCCACCGACACUUGAAUGUGUUCUACAUUACAUAAUUUAAUCAAAUGCUUAAUUUCUAGAGACAGUGGGUGAAUACAAUUUUUAGCAAAAGGGUUGCUAAGAAGAGACUGGACACAACUUUUAGAGUCGGAAAAAAUUAUAGAAGGCGAAAUAUUGUUAACUCUGAUGUAUUUAAUACAUUCCCUAAUAGCUAAAAUUCACCAGAAAAUACCGAACAAUAGUGUGGAAAUUUAUAUGAAAAGGAUAUAUUGGCAUUCCAGUGUAAAAAAGCAACACCAACAGGGCUUUCUUUACUUAAUUUAGAGGCAUCUGUGAAAAAAAUCUUAGCUUGGGGCCAACGUUUCUGAAUAAUGAGUUUUAAUUUAGAAUCUGGAUUAGCAGUCUGUUUAUCUAUACCAAGAGAUAACUCCACAGAAGGGGUUGAAAUUUUAGAGCUAAACUCAACUGAAAAUGCUGGAUGUAUUUUAAAUUUAUUAAUAGCACAAGAUAUACCUUCUAGCCUCCUGUAACUUUCAAUAAGACAGGGGAGGCAGCAAAAGGGUGGCAAAAUCUAAAUGACUCCUCACAAUAGCAUUAUAUAAUAAUCUGAGGGAGUAAGGAUGUGCUCCCCACCAGACACCCCUUAAACAUCGCAAAAUAUUAAUGUUGCUCUCACAUUUAUUAACAAUAUGGUCUAUGUGCGCUACACCGUUCAUUCUACUGUCAAAUAUUUUACCCAAAAAUUUUACCUCUUUCUUUACUGGAAUUAGGGUCCCAUUGCACUCAACAUCAAUAUGGGGUAUCUGACGUUUUCUAGAAAAGACAACGACUACACUUUUGGAGGCUGAUAGGUCUAAAUAAUUAUUAUUCAGCCAUGAGGAUAGUACAGUCAUGCCACUUUCAAUAUUAUCCUUUGCUACGCUUAUAGAAUUAUUAGAAGAAUAAAUAAGGAGGUCAUCAGCAUACUGUAAGAUAUUACACCCAUCCGAUAUGUGAUGAUCUAUAUCGGUAGUGUAAACAUCAUACAGCAGAGGGCUGAUUACAGAACCUUGAGGAACCCUUAGCUGAACUAAUUUGUUCCUAAGGACCCAAAGAUUAACAUUAUCAUAUGCCGCUGAAACAUCGAGGAAGCCAGCUACCACUGACUUGUUUUGACUAAAUGCCAACUGAAUGUCAGUAGUGAAAAUGGCAUGACUAUCGGAAAUACUCCGGCCUUUCCUGAAUCCAUAUUGAGAAUCUGCCAGUAAAGAAUGGUGCUCUAGGAACCAUUCUAAUCUGUUUUUUAUCAAGUGUUCUACUACUUUGGGCAUGGUAGAUGAGAGCGCUAUAGGCCGAUAUGAAAGUGAAUUACAAGGGUCUUUCCCUGGUUUGGGAACGGGUACAAUUAAUUGAUGUUUCCAAUUUUCCGGAAUAGCUCCAGAAUCAACAAUUAAAUUAAUCAAGUUUAAAAAAUAACUAAGGGAACUAUUCCGGGAUUUUGAAAGAAAGGAAUAAGGGAUACCAUCAGGACCAGGGGAAGAGUCCCUGAUAUGGCUGAGUACUAAUUUUAAUUCUUGAAAAGUAUAAGGGGAGUCUAAAAUAGAAGAAAUAGCCCGGGGGGAAUAUAAAUAGGGAAUUUGAUAGAAAUUAGGAACUG